ACUUUAGAAGUCAUCACCAAAUUCAUAAUUUAAAAAACAAACAAACUGAAAUAUUCACCUAGCGCUAGAAUCAAAUAGAAUCCAAAACAUUGUCAUUUCUCUCAAUCUCCAAAAUUAAAUUGAAGUGAAUAGACGAGAAGUAAAACUGAAGUUUUUGUUUUAUGUUUCAUCAUCUUCCAUAAUCGCUGCAAAAAAAAUCAUCUUCCAUAGUCGUCACUUUCACCGAGUUGCGGGAGUUCAUUUCUAUAUCUCUCUUUCUCUCCCACACUGAGUGAAAGUGAAUUAGAUUUUGAAGUGGUGGUGUAGUGUAGCGAGUGUUGUCGACGUCGUUGUGCAUCUAGCAGCAAGAACAAAAAACAAUAAAUUGCAAAGAUCCAUAUUAAAAACAAAAUAAGAUAUUGAACAAGAAACCAGAUCUGGAAGAUGCUAUAACAAGAAAU
rnacentral:lncRNA from 1 species